rnacentral:tRNA from 2 species
GCAGGGGUAGCCAAGCGGCCAACGGCGCUAGGUUCAGGGCCUAGUGGUGUAGACCUCCGUGGGUUCGAAAUCGCAAUGUGCCUGCA